rnacentral:misc_RNA from 1 species
UCCCGGUUGGCCCGGGCGGUCUCGUCUGAAAAAUCCAACAGACGACAAGGGUUGCGCUCGUUGCGGGACUUAACCCAACAUCUCACGACACGAGCUGACGACGGCCAUGCAUCACCUGUCACCGCGUUCCCGAAGGCACUCCGCUGUUUCCAGCAGAUUCGCGGGAUGUCAAGCCUUGGUAAGGUUCUUCGCGUAGCUUCGAAUUAAACCACAUGCUCCACCGCUUGUGCGGAGCCCCGUCAAUUCCUUUGAGUUUUAAGCUUGCGCUCGUACUCCCCAGGCGGCAGGCUUAACGCGUUAGCUUCUCAGCCCAAGGGGUCGAUACCUCGAACUAAUAGCCUGCAUCGUUUACAGCGUGGACUAC